AUUGAACGCUGGCGGCAGGCCUAACACAUGCAAGUCGAACGGUAACAGGAAACAGCUUGCUGUUUCGCUGACGAGUGGCGGACGGGUGAGUAAUGUCUGGGAAACUGCCUGAUGGAGGGGGAUAACUACUGGAAACGGUAGCUAAUACCGCAUAACGUCGCAAGCCCAAAGAGGGGGACCUUCGGGCCUCUUGCCAUCGGAUGUGCCCAGAUGGGAUUAGCUAGCAGGUGGGGUAACGGCUCACCUAGGCGACGAUCCCUAGCUGGUCUGAGAGGAUGACCAGCCACACUGGAACUGAGACACGGUCCAGACUCCUACGGGAGGCAGCAGUGGGGAAUAUUGCACAAUGGGCGCAAGCCUGAUGCAGCCAUGCCGCGUGUAUGAAGAAGGCCUUCGGGUUGUAAAGUACUUUCAGCGGGGAGGAAGGGAGUAAAGUUAAUACCUUUGCUCAUUGACGUUACCCGCAGAAGAAGCACCGGCUAACUCCGUG
rnacentral:rRNA from 1 species